rnacentral:lncRNA from 1 species
CGAAAUAUCGUUUUUAUCACAAUUUGUAACCACAUACCUCUUUUUAUUUAAAAAAGGACACGUACUCAAAAUUAUAAAAUAGUGAAAUCACACUGUUGCUUUUUUUUUGUGCUUAUCCAUAAUCUAAAUAACAUAUCAUGGGUGCAAAUAAUUACAUUAUGCCCUUUUUCUUGCAGUACCCACUUUCGUAAAAUUUACAUACUCGCUACCUUUCACUAGGAGCCUCGAAAGAACCACCUCCAUAUCCAUGCACUGCCUGCCUAUUCCAUGAAGAUCUAUCCCUACCAUAACCAAUAUCUCUAUUUUGAAAAUAAUUAUGAUAAUGGUCUUGCGACCAAAAAAUCUAUUAUCCCCACCGUACCUCAAUUAGCUUCCUUAACCACCAAUAUUUCCUGUAAAAAUGGCAGAAAUUGUACUAGCUUGUUGCUAAAUUGACUUGUGAUCAAUCCUUAAACCAUGUUCAUACUUCCUUGAGAUACUCGUCCCUGGUUCAAGUUUGUGUUCUCCUUUACAGUUCCCCAUCUAGUGUUUACUGUUGAUGAUGCAGGAUGUUGGGUAUCAGAACCGCCUUCCAAUUGGCUAACCGUUGAUGAAGUGAAAGCUUGGAUGUCUGAAUCUGCUUCACCUUGGUUCACAAUUGAUGACGCUAGUGACAAAGUCAGUGUAAAUUUUUGUUUACUGUGUGUCUAAUCACAAAACUAUAAAAAUAGUUUCAAACAAGAAAUUCCAAAUAGAGGGAGAGAAUGACUUUGAAGAAUUCUAUUGCAUAUCCAUUUUUAAGAAAUCAUAGAUUGUUACUUUUCAAAAGAGAAAUAGUAAAGGGAGAGAAUUGAUAAUGGAGAAAGCAGGAGUUUCAGGUGAAGCGCGGUUGGAGGAGGAGGAGGAGAAAGUAGUGAUGGCGGCGGCGGUGGUUAUAGGAUAAGAGCAAGAGGUGGAAGAAAAGUGGCAAAGACAAUGGUGGUUGAGAUGGCGGAGAAAGAGGAGAGAGAUAGAGAGGAGGAAAGUGAUGAAGAUGAUUAAAACAAUUAAGGAGCUCAGGUGUAAAGUAUUAUUUGACUUGUAUUUUUUUUUAGUUACACACACACUGUACCAUGUCAUCUUUGCACCUAUCAAUUAAACAAAAAUAAAUAGGCGGUACUGAUAAA